AGCAGGAGCUUGCUCUUGUGGAUCAGUGGCGAACGGGUGAGUAACACGUGAGCAACCUGCCCCGGACUCUGGGAUAAGCGCUGGAAACGGCGUCUAAUACUGGAUAUGAGACGUGACCGCAUGGUCAACGUUUGGAAAGAUUUUUCGGUCUGGGAUGGGCUCGCGGCCUAUCAGCUUGUUGGUGAGGUAAUGGCUCACCAAGGCGUCGACGGGUAGCCGGCCUGAGAGGGUGACCGGCCACACUGGGACUGAGACACGGCCCAGACUCCUACGGGAGGCAGCAGUGGGGAAUAUUGCACAAUGGGCGAAAGCCUGAUGCAGCAACGCCGCGUGAGGGAUGACGGCCUUCGGGUUGUAAACCUCUUUUAGCAGGGAAGAAGCGAGAGUGACGGUACCUGCAGAAAAAGCGCCGGCUAACUACGUGCCAGCAGCCGCGGUAAUACGUAGGGCGCAAGCGUUAUCCGGAAUUAUUGGGCGUAAAGAGCUCGUAGGCGGUCUGUCGCGUCUGCUGUGAAAUCUGGAGGCUCAACCUCCAGCCUGCAGUGGGUACGGGCAGACUAGAGUGCGGUAGGGGAGAUUGGAAUUCCUGGUGUAGCGGUGGAAUGCGCAGAUAUCAGGAGGAACACCGAUGGCGAAAGGCAGAUCUCUGGGCCGUAACUGACGCUGAGGAGCGAAAGGGUGGGGAGCAAACAGGCUUAGAUACCCUGGUAGUCCACCCCGUAAACGUUGGGAACUAGUUGU
rnacentral:rRNA from 2 species